AGAGUAGUUUCUGGGUUGCAUUGAAUUCCUCCCCAAGAACAUGAAAUACUUGUGGGUCUUUGUUUUCCUGCUGACGGUUCCCAGCUGUGUCCUGUCCCAGGUACAGUUGCAGGAGUCGGGGCCGGGUCUGCUGAAGCCCUCUCAGUCACUGUCCCUCACCUGUACUGUCACUGGUUACUCCAUUAGCAGUGGUAGCUGGUGGACUUGGAUUCGUCAGCAUCCAGAGAAAGGGCUGGAGUGGAUGGGUGAAAUUUAUAGAGAUGGAGACACCAACUACAACCCAUCUCUCAAGAGCCGAGUAACUAUGACAGUAGACACAUCAAAGAAUCAGUUUUCCCUGAGGCUGAGCUCUGUGACCACUGAGGACACAGCUGUGUAUUACUGCGCUAGAAGCACAGUGAUGGAACUUCAGUGUGAGUCCAAACAUAAACAAACCUUCCUGUAG